rnacentral:rRNA from 1 species
UACAGAGGGUGCAAGCGUUAAUCGGAAUUACUGGGCGUAAAGGGUGCGUAGGCGGUUCGUUAAGUCGGAUGUGAAAGCCCUGGGCUCAACCUGGGAAUGGCAUCCGAAACUGGCGAGCUAGAGUACGGUAGAGGGUGGUGGAAUUUCCUGUGUAGCGGUGAAAUGCGUAGAUAUAGGAAGGAACACCAGUGGCGAAGGCGGCCAUCUGGACCAGCACUGACGCUGAGGCACGAAAGCGUGGGGAGCAAACAGG